UGGGGCGUAACUCAGUGGUAGAGUGACCGACUGUUAAUCGGUUUGUCGCAGGUUCGAAUCCUGCCGCCUCAGCCA
rnacentral:tRNA from 1 species